CUCAUCCACAUUCGGAGGAAGCAGUUUAUCUAUGUGACAAAAAAAAAUGAACAAAUUUUCUGAAACUUUAAGUCCAAAUUGAAGUUGUUGUUGGUCUUCAUAAUCGGGGGGUUUGGUAAAUUUUCUGUUCAAUUCAAAAUCGAUCGAAUUCCACUCAGUUGAACAACCCCACCACAUGUUCGACAAAAUGACUGCAUUUGAUGUUUCCGAUUAAUCCAACGACAACAAAGAUCAAGGAAUUUCAGACAACCGACAAGGGAAAUCCUCGUCCUCGACUCCUGGUUACAUACAUACAUGUGUUGUCAUGGGAUAUGAUUCAGUUAACGAUGAUUUUAAGGUCUAUCCCGGAGCAUGGACUGCCAUUAUGGUUUCACUUGACAUUUCCGGCAUUUUGAAUAUAUGAGCUGAAAACUUGCACUCUUGGUAUCUGGGAAAGGAGGUUUAUUUAAGUGUUCUGAAUUAUGUAAAGGACUGUUCAGAGGUUCGUUUGCCAGAUUGUGUUUUGCGGCUUACUAUCAUCAUAACAAAGGUUUGAAAGACUAAAGUACAAAAGCCCAAUUCUCCAUCUUCUUCUCUACUUGCCAGCAUGCAGUAUAGAGUGAAAGUACACUAAUUCUUGAAAGGAACUCCCCUCCACCAACUGAAGUCCAUGAAUGCUCUAUGAUCCAUGAAGCUUGUAGUUAAAAAACUGUAUUUUUGUUUACAUGUCAACUCCACUUUUUUGGAGUAGUUGUAUAUAAAUAAGAUAGGGGUGUCAAAUUGGGUCUUCGGUUCGGUUUCGAUUCGGGUUAAAACCGGUUCAUUUUGCUAUUGGUUCGGUUUGGGUUGAAAAUUUAACGGUUCGGUUCGGGUUGAAAAUUAACGGUUCGGUUCAGGUUCGGGUUAUGUGGUGCGGGUUCAGAUCGGGUCGGGUUCAUGUCGGAUCGGGUUCGUAUCGGGUCAGGUCAUAAACGGGUUAAGUCGGGUUCAUAUCGGGUCGGGUUCACGGGUCAGAUCAGGUCGGAUUGUAGUUGAGUCGGGUCAAUUCGGUUCAGUUUGUUAACGGGUUUAGCCGGAUUGUAAUCGGGUCGGGUUCAUGUUUAGUCAGAUCAAUUCGGAUACAAAUUACAAACAAUGUCGGGUUAUUACUAAAAUCACAAUUUUCAAUACAUGUAUACUAUAAUAUCUACAUUAUUAAAGCAA